rnacentral:misc_RNA from 1 species
CUGCUCUACCUUCACCAUGCCAAGUGGUCCCAGGCUGCACCCAUGGCAGAAGGAGGGCAG